CGUAGGGUGCGAGCGUUAAUCGGAAUUACUGGGCGUAAAGCGUGCGCGGGCGGUUUUGUAAGACAGGCGUGAAAUCCCCGGGCUCAACCUGGGAACUGCGCUUGUGACUGCAAGGCUAGAGUACGGCAGAGGGGGGUGGAAUUCCACGUGUAGCAGUGAAAUGCGUAGAGAUGUGGAGGAACACCAAUGGCGAAGGCAGCCCCCUGGGUCGAUACUGACGCUCAUGCACGAAAGCGUGGGUAGCAAACAGGAUUAGAUACCCUGGUAGUCUACGCCCUAAACGAUGUCAACUAGGUGUUGGGUGGGUAAAACCAUUUAGUACCGGAGCUAACGCGUGAAGUUGACCGCCUGGGGAGUACGGCCGCAAGGUUA
rnacentral:rRNA from 1 species